rnacentral:lncRNA from 1 species
UAAAAAAAAUCUCAAAGCAUCAGUAUGAAAUUAUCAAUGAAAGAUAGUAGCUUCAACCUUCGAUGCAUUGAAUUUACCACGUACACACUAUCGCACGCACACAUGUAAGCUACUUGGUGUUGCUUGGUUUCAUAACCUGGUUAAUCAGGGUAUGUAAAUCACGCCAUCUCCGAGUAAUAUAAAUGUGCCAAUAUUCCUUUUCCCCCCUACACGUAGUGUUCCCAGCCUAAGUUUCGAGCUACUAGAUAGUACCAAGGCAUCUCAAAUCAGCAGCUCAAAACAAAAUUAAACAAAAAACCACACGCUAAAAUAAUAUAAACGACACAUUUUUUUUUCCGAUUUCAGUAAUACUACGUGAAGUUCAAUGAAAAUUAACCUAGUUUAAUCCUCCUGCUAAUCUGCCUUCUUAGUUUAAACAGAUAAAUAUAUGAAACCAACCUGAAUCCAAAUCACACAUCAUCAUCACGAGAAUCGAAUUGGUUAAAUGCCAGGGGCCAAAGAGAUCUAGAGUUAGGGUUUGAUUUACUUGGUGACGGUCUCCUUGUGGACCUGGAGCACGUGGAUCGCCAUGCCGCUCGCGGUGGAGAGCUUCUUGUGGCACACAUGGCACUUGAAAUGCUUCGCCUUCUGGUGCUGGACCAGGAUCUUCUCGUCGUCGAACUCACGGUCGCAGUAGUAGCACCAAAACUUCUCCACCCUCUUCUUCUUCUUCCCCAUCGCGGCUCCUCCCGCCUCCUCCUCCUCCUCCUCCUCCUCCUCCUCCUCCUCCUCUUUCUCUUCGGAUCCUUCCGACGAAUCUAGGGUUUCCCCUCUCCUUCUAGAUCGCUCCUCCCGCCUCCUCCUCCUCCUCUUCCCCUUCGGAUCCUUCCGACCAAUCUAGGGUUUCCCUUCUCCUUCUGGUUCGACGAAGAUGCAAGGAUUAGGAUUGGGGUUAGGGUUAGGUUUAGGGUUUCAAGCUCGUCGCCCCCAACGAAUUCCUCUUUCCAUGUCUCGAUCUCGACCCUGCAACAGCCCUUCUUUUUUAUUUUCCCCCUUCGUGUGUUUUUUGGCUAAUUUUGGAGAUUAUUAUUAUGUCCUAUAUUUAAUGUGAGAGAAAUUGUAGUGCACGUGCAUAGCACGUGCAAAUGAAGUGUCGGGACAAUUUGGCCCUUGGGCCUUACUUUUACAUCUUCGUCCAUUACUUUCUACUAUUUUACAUUUGUACAUCUCUAAAUGGUAGUAUAAAUAGUAAUAAGUGUACAACAAUUCUUUCUCCCCAAUUAUCCUUUUAUCCUUCUUCUUCCUCCUCCUCCUCUCAUCUUUCCCAAAUUUCCUCUCCUCUCUUCCCAAACCCUAACCCUAAACCUCUAAUCUCCUAACUCUACUCCUCCCAAUUCCCUUUCCUUUCCCUUCUCCCCAUCUCCCUGUCUCUCUACCUCUUCUUCUUCUCUCGACGGGUUGCGGAAUCGCUCGGGACAUUACAAUUCUCUACAUCGACGGGUUGCGGAAUCGCUUGGAAUAUUACACUCAGUCGCCGUUAUCAGUAACCUCUAUCUCCCCUCAUCAAUUUAUUUCCUCUCAUUUUUUUUUUCUCGAAUUAGGUUUAUUUCUAAGCAUUAGAUGUAGAUUAAAUUAGUGGGAAUCUUCCUCAAUACACUUAUUUAAUCUUUUUAUAAUCAGCUAGUUGGGAGAGUUUUACUAUGUUUUACUCUGAUCUCAUUUUUUUGAAUCAUAGUCCAUCUAUUCCUUGCUAGUUAUUGUAGGAUUUGUAGGAAUUUAAUGUGAUUAAACCUAGUUAAUCCAGCAAAAUACGAUUGGGCAAAAUAUGAUUGGAUCGAAGCUGUUUACGACUAUUUUGCGGUGUCGAUUAGAUGGAAUCUAAUAACCUGAAGUUGUAUAAGGUUUUUUAAGCGGAUUGAGGAGUCGGGAAAAUUUUUUUUUUUUUUUUCUACUUUUCUUAUGUAGAAACAAGAUUUAGUUGAAGAGAGGAAAUGGAUUGUAGUUGAGUACUCUCCAUUUUUUAUACAAUUCUUUUAUGCUGAUUAGAUUGAUCUCAAAGUCACUACAAUGUGAAUUUUAAGUUUGCUUUUAAGAGUCAUAGGAUCUAGGGCUUGGUGGAUUAUGAUAGUUCGACUACAGGUCGAUUAAAUUGCCUGAACAUUUCGAUUCAAUAUGGUUUUGUUUCUUUUUUUUCUUUUCAUGUUACUUUAUUUGUUUGUUUUUCUUUCUUGACCAUGGAGUAGUGUUAAAAACCUUUCUAUUGAAGCAAUUGCCGACCUGUAUAUUUUCCAAUGAUUACACAUGGUUUUAUUAAUAUCAGAAACUCGGAAAAUUAGAUACUUGAUGUAGUAGACUAGACGAUGCUGUUGCUGCUUGGUUGCCUUCUGUUCUUCUAGAGGCUGCGGCAUAUUGGUUCCUCAAGAAUUCUCAGUCACUAAAUUGCGAGUGUCUUCAUGGGCUUCUUUUCUGUAGGUUUUUUUUUUCGUUUAUCAAAAGAAUGUCGACAUUUUAAAGUCUGCUCUUUUUCCUUCUGAACCUUCAAAAUGUGGAAAUUUCUGUAGUAUCAAUCUUGGAGAGUGAGGUGUCGAUGGCACUUUAAUGCUACCAUCACACAUUGCAUCUAUUUCUUUGUGUUCUUCUGUUCCUGUAUAAUCAGUCUAGAUCUUGCUAUUCAGCAACUUCUUCUAGUGAUUUAUGUCAAAAAGGGAACUUUAGCUGUGAAUCCAUUUGUAUAUGACUGCUAAGUUUGAUUAGUGGAAUCUGCCAUCUCAUGAUGUUUAAAUAAUCAAGCUUGAACCGAAAUAAUUGUGUAUUGAGUACUAUUUCCAUAUCCAACAGGGUACCAAUCAAUAGAAGCAAUGCCGGGAGUAAUACAAAAGUUCUUCAUUGCAUCUAUGGUCAUGUGGAUGGCCCCAGUUGCAAUAUUAUACGGGUUUAAUAACAAGUUAUUUCCCGGUAUGCAUUUCUUCUCUGACCUGUUCCUCUUAAAGUAAUUACAUACUAAACAAAUAUGUUGGAAACCUGUAGAUUUCCUUAAUCAUCAUUAUCCUAUCAUUUUUUAGCUUAAUACUUUUCCCUUCUCCUGUAGGCAUUUAAGAUUCCACUCUCCUAUUUUGUCUUAUCGCUCUUGGUUCAUAUUUUUCAUCUAAGGCUCCAUCUAAUGAUAUGAUUUGAGAUGUAAAUAUGGAAAUUGUACCUUCAUAUUACCUAAUCUUGCUUAAUUGUUUGCUUAAAUUGCACGCUUGUUUGAUUGUUUGGACUUGCAUACUUGUGAAUAUCAAACAGGUACGCGUCAGCUUUCCUCCGAAUCCCAGACACUAUUAAGCGGAUUCGUUGCUGUUAUAUCGGUCAACUUGGUCAUCAUAUUGUACAUUUAUAUGGCAAUGAAAGAGCCCGCGGCUCAUGAGCAUCAGCCCGAUCCAUCCUUUUUAGCUGAAGCGAAAGCCAGUAUCAGCAAAAAUACAACCCAAUCCAGAGAAAAAGAGGAGUAAGAAUUAAUGUAAGUUAAAUGUGAAUUUAUCUCUAAUUAGAUGUUUUAUAUCCUUUUUACGUUCCACUAGUACUCUAAAAAGUUUUGUGACGGUAUAAUGAUCAGUGUGCAAUUGCUUGUUUUAAUUUUGAUUACAUAAAAACAAGUGUAUUAUCUUGUGUCUUGAUGGUGUGAAAGUUGGUGAUAGCAGUCAAGUUAGUGUAUGAACUCCCCAAUGCAGCAAUUUGUGCAGUUACUACAACUGCAAAUAACUAGAUAUUGGAACAAAGAUCAUGUUCAAACAACAUAUCAAGUUUAGUUGAAUGAUCUAUGAAAUAGCAUAAGUGGGUACUGUUUUCACUUCCAUUUGUCUUGUGAUAUUAUAACUCUCCAUUUCUUGAUUUAUUAUUAAUAAAUUAUUUACUUGCUUCGUACUUUCAGUGCAUAGCUUUCUGAAUAUUCUUCAUUUUACCUUUUCUUUUCCUAUUUUUUAUGUUUGAGAUGUUGAUUGUGCUAUUCUUACUAAUUGAAUAUUGCAAUUUAAAAGCACAAGUAUUAUUAAUUAGUGUGUCCUUUUGUUAGGGCAUAAAAGUAUCUUUUGAAUAUCUGAAGAUUUUUGUGUAGUAUUUGGCGAAAAUACUGUCACAAAGUUGAUGAAAAUAGUAUUCCUAGGUUUGACAUAAAUCAUUGACAUUAGACUCAUUCCCUCUUGCUGAUAUCUUGGAAAAACAAGGUGGACAUUGAAGCUGGGUUGGUUCAGGGACCCACCAUUUUUAUCUCUUCUCCACUCUGCAUAUCUCAGCCUAAUAAGGGUCUAAGUGCUUCUUGAGAAUGUGUUGUCCCAGUAGUUAUGUUAAAAAAAAAAAAAGGCACUGUACUAAAAAUCUUUCCAAUAGCUUUACUCUGCCUCAGAAUUUGAGGAAUCGAUUUGGAACCUAUACUUUUAAAGGUUUCAUGUCUCAGUUUUGCUUACUCUUGCAGCAGAAGUUUCAGAUUUUUGUUCUUUAACCUUUCUCAAAAGCUCUACUAAAGAAUGCUUUUGCGAAAAGCAGAUAUAGAAUCGUCUCGCCCGUAACUUUUAUAGCUAUUAUAGAGUUUGGUUCCAAUCCAAAAUGCUGACAAACUGUUUUCGUCCAUCACACCAAAAUUUUUCGAAUUUCACCACCAAAAUGUUACAGCAUAUCUUAAAAGCGCAUUUCAGCUGCAGCAAAUGGAAACAUUCCAUCUGCGAACUCGACAGCGAGCAACGACAGCAUAAUCGAACCACUCGGUCGAAAAGAGGAGCAUUCCAAUGUAUCAAAGAGGAUGGCGAAAACCUCUCGGGUUAGCCUCGAGUUGUCGGUCUUGAAGCAUUUUGUGUUUCUAGGCCCAUUUAGCAAGAAGAGACAUUAAACCCCCGCCGAGAAGAAGGGCGAAAUGCGUUCCUAACUGAAGCCGCACGUUGGUUUGCACUCUCGGGUUCAUGAAGUCCGCUGCCAGGAGAUCGACGAGAGCCAUGUAGAUUAAGAUCCCCGCGGAGGCGGAGUUGAAGAGGCCUUCGACGAUUAGGGCGGUCGCGCUGGUUCGAUCGUAGCUGGACGAUAUUGCUAUGCCCAGCAGAAUACCGAUCGGAGCCGUGAGGGAGAAGAAGGUUGCCAUGAUCACCGUUGCCCUGGCUCUAAACUUUGCCUGCGGUUAUGAAAACAAAGAAGAGGCUCAGUACAGCAUAGAAUUGGCAAAAUUUUGAUCCUCGGAUGCAAUGCAAACAUUCUUAUUCAUUUUUCGGUGUUUUAAUAAGUAAAUUUGGUCCUUAGGAUUUAAAACUAUCUAUCUAGUGCUACAUUAGUGGUGAGAAAGUCUAAAUGUAGCACAUGUUUGGCUCGGUCUCGGAGUGCUGCUUGAGAAAGCGCCGACACUUGCUUAACAAUAACAGAAUCUUCAAAUUAGAACUUCUUACUUUUUUUGAAAUUAAAACAAAUGUAUUUCGACUUCACGAUGAAGUUACCUGAACAAUACAUCCGCCGAGCCCUAUGCCUUCAAAGAACUGAUGGAAACUCAAUGCUCCCACCAGCGGCCUGAUAGUGGAGGGUCUCUGAGAAGCACCCAAGGAGACACCAAUGAUCACAGAGUGCACCACAAUCCCCAGCUCCAACACCUAAAUCAACAACAUCAGGGAAACAAAAUGAACUAACAAAAUCCCCAAAGCUCACUUUGAACGUAGUAAUGAUACCAACAACACGAAGUGUCUCAUUCACUGCAGUUAAUUGAAGCGUAGUUUUCAAUAAAUUAAGUCAAAUCAUGUCCUGUACUGAUGAUAAAAGCAGUGUCGUAAAAUACGUAAUAGGAAACAGUUCAGAAAUAGUUUUAUCUGUUUCUUGCUGACUGUCUCACCUGAGAAACAAUGCGGUGGCGAAUCCUCUCCGCCGCCGACGCCUCCUCGUCAGCUCCUGCUGUCUCCGCCGCGCCGUGUGCGUGCCCGUGUGUCGCGUGCGUGUGCACGUGCACGUGCCCGGCGUGCGCCCCUCUCCCCUCCUCAUCAACGCCUCCUCUUCCGUCGCCGUCGUCGUCGUUGUCGUCGUCCAGCGGCCGCGCUUUGCUGAAAUGGGCGCGGCGGUAGUAGCCGGUGGCGAAGGAGUCGAGCAUGAGGGUCAUGGCGGCGGACGCCAUGGCCACGAACCCCGCGAAGGGGAAGGCGCGCCAGGGGGAGCGGGGGACGCAGGGCGAGGUGAGGGCGUCGAAGGCUGCGGGGAGGAUGUGGACGAGGCCGGUGGCGAGGAUGACCCCGGCCGCGAAGGCCUUCACCGCGAAGAACGCCUCGCUCUCCGCCCGCAGCGCCUGCACCGACCGCCCCGCCAUCGGGAUGACCACGCCGGCCGCCCCCGACGACAGGAUCGCAGCCACCGCCACCGCCUUCAGCUUCAGCGCCUGCGCCGCGCCGCGGCCCCCCUCCGACUGGUUCUUGCUGCAGCUGCAAUUCCCUACACCUUGAAUUGGGGUGAAGAAGAGGAAGAAGAAGAAGAAGAAGAAGAAGAGGAACAGGAUCUUCAUCUUCAUCUCCAUUGAGAGUGAGGGAGAGAGAAGGGUUGAGUGAGAGUGAGCGUGAGAGUGAGAGUGAGAGUGAGAGGGUGGGAUAUGAUUAUGUUAGUUAAAUAGGGAAAGAAACAUUGGAGGGGGUAUGGGGAUUUGUAGUGUAAUAAUGGGCUCAUCACAAGGGAGUGAUGAGACCUAUAAGAAAACAUUAAAAAAACAAAAAACAAAAACAAAAACAAAAACAAAAAAGUCUUUUUCAUAACAGAUUACGUGGCACACGAUAUAUAUAUAAAUUUAUGCGCAAUACUAUCUAUUCAUCUUAACAUAAUAAUAAUCAUUUAAUUAUUUUUAAAUAUCCCUCGAUUAAAUAUCUUUUGAGGAAUAGAUAGUAUGCUAUCCGUUUCGUUUAUUUUAUUUAGAAACAAACUUAGCUGAAGAUAUGAAUCGAUUAUAAUUUAAACUCGAAAUCUUGGGUACCAACUAUCAAGUCCUUUGCCAUUUGCGCCGGAAACGGCCGGUAAUUUUAAGUUACUUUACAAAUAAGUAUAGAUGAAUUAAUGAAAAGUGUAAAUCAAGAUAAUAUAUAAUUAUGACAUGUAGUUUUAAGCUUGAAACACACCCAUUGAAUUAUAUACUUUAUAAAAUAUUAUAAAAUUCAUUUAUAACAAAAACAUGUUUUCUUAUCUUAUCUAUAAAUAUAAAGUUUAUACUAAAAGACUUCUUGCACGUCGUUUAUAUUCAUCUGCUUAUUUUAUUUUUUUAUAACUGAAUUGUGUCAACCUUUGAAUCCUUUCAUGUAUAAAAAACUUAAUUAAGAACAAAAAAAAAAGUUAUUCUUGUGAAUUAAUUCUACAAUAAUUCAUAAAUUAUAUUAUUAUUCCACGCUUAUAUUAAUAUGUUGCUGUCAAUGAAAUAUUAUGGCUAUAUAUGUAAAUUUGUAAAAUGUUGUCGAAUUUAUUUGUCAGUGUAGUAUUAGUAUUAUUAAUAUAAUAAUAAUAAUGGUCUCGAUAUUUUUGUGCAAUAUAAAUUGCUUGUUAAAUAUGAUUUUAUUUAUAUGAAAUAAUAAUAGGUAUUAAAAAAAGGAAUAUGCAAAAGGUGGGAGAGGGGACUAAACAAGGGGGAGGGAGAUGUCUCAACGUCACAAUAUUGUGCAACAAAAGUAGAUGUUCUUCUUCUUUUUUUUUUCUUUUUUUCCCUUUUUUUUUUUUGGGGUGUUGACAUGAUGUUGUCAUCGUAGACUCAUGAAAUGUGAUGACUAAAAAGGGCGUAAGGAAAAGGGGGGGGUGUACGUAGCCAAACUGGUAGGUGGAGAUUUGAUGAGGUAAAAAGCAUCAUCUUUAAUCUUAAAAGCUCGAAAUGAUUCAAAAUAAUAAUAAUAAUAAUAAUAAUAAUAAUAAUAAUUAAAUCGUGUGGAUACAGUAUUUAUAUAUUUUUACUAUAACUUUUUUUAUUCAGAAGAUCUGUCCGCUAAAGAUGCACCGUUUUUUUUGUGGAGACAAAUCAAAAUUACUUGAAUAAAUUUAAUUCUCACCUGCUCACGAAAAACACUUCUAUAAAGUCUCGAGCUAGAUCGGACACGCAACCUUACUUAAAAUUUAGGGUCUAUAUUGUGGCCCCUUGUUAUUUCAAUUAUAACAAAACUCUCACAAUUAUGAAAAUAAUGUUGAAGUACAACUAAUAAACUAUGAGAAUCAAAGUACAGAACUUUAUUGACUAUUUGUAAAGAAAAGUUCUCUGAUUUAAAUUUCAUGAUAGGUUCCAUUUGAAAGUUGGAUUCUCUCAUUCUCAGCCACAAAUUGAGGGAAAGGAAAACUACAAAAUGUUUGACUAUUGCUAGAGGUCUUAUUAAUAUAUUAAUAUAUACAAUAUAAUUUCUAUUAUUAUUAAUAAUUUUUAUGCAUACUCAAAAACAUUUUAUGAGUUUACUAAUACAUUAACAAUACAAUCGAAAAUCCUUUGCAGAAGUACGUACCCUGCUCUAAUUUUAGUAAAGCCCUCGAAUAAAUGCAGCAACUACCACCCAAAAAUGGGAAUCAUAACAACUUCACAAAAUCAUUGGUCCCAAAAAGGUUUAAUAUGUUAUAUAACUCCUAUAUAUGCUCUCUUUAUUAUUUGCUACAACAAAAGUCCCAAGGUCUUUUAGGCAGCGUUUGGUUAAGGAAUAGGGAUAAAAAUAGGUCCUUAUCCCCUCCCUUUAUACCCAAAUGCUAAUUUUUUAUCCGAGAAUAGUAGUUCUCGGUUAUCCCCACCAACACCUCCAUUUUUUAAUAAAACUAUCUAAAAUUAUUCUUAUCCUCGCGAACAACCCAAUUUUCAUCCAAACACUAUUCUUCUUAUCUCCAUACUUGUACCUAUUUCUGUAAUAGCUAGUUCUUGCUUAUAUCCGAACCAAACGGUACCUUAGGUUUUACUACUACAAUCAUAAGAGAACCAAAGCUUUUUGAAUACUUGCGUUAGAGAAUGCCCACCAUAGAAAGUGUUGUUUAUAUGCUUCAACCAUGCACUGAGUGUUGAUUGAAUAAUUACUAACAUUUACAUACCAACACAAUAGCAGGAAAAAUAAAAGUAUACACAAGAAUAGUAAAGCAUUUCUUUUACUAGUUCCCUUUUUUUUAUUAAUUUUCUCAAUGACCACCAGUGAUUGUUGGAUACACAUAAUGAAUUGUGUGAAAUAUUUUAAUUAAUUUAUGCACAAUGUUUGAAGUGUUAUAUAUAUAUGGAUUUGUCGACUUAUAAGUUUCAUAAAUAUAGAACUCUUUGUGACAGACGGACUCAAAAAGUAUUUUUCUUAUGAAAGGACAAAUGAUUUGUGCUCACUGGGAAAAAAAAAAACACACUUAUAUUGCUGAUGUGCUGGCAAAUUUUUAUAAAAUAUUUGGGACUCUGCACAUACGAAUCAUUCAAAAUGCUACACAUUAUUUGUGUCAGAACAUCAAUAAUUAUUCAUAUUUUUUUAUAGAAAACACUUUGAAGAACACUUUGAAGAAUCCAUUAACAAUGUAUAGGAACUCUUAACUUGGAAAAAUAACUUUAUAGGAAGAAUCAUUAGAGAUACAUCUCCAAUGAGUCUUACGUAGUGGUACUUUAAAACUUUAUUUAUAGACUAAAUGAAUUGCUAAAAUAGAAAAUAUCCAAAUAUUUGAUGGAAAAUUUGCUUCAGGAGACUAACCAACAGGAAUGUCAAUUAAGUGGUCCCUGUCCUAGACUAACCGACCGUCCCCAGAGCAAGUGGCAAAGAGCUUGGUGGUUGGUACCCAAAAUCCAAGUUCGAAUCCUAAUUGAUUCACAUUUCUAGCUAAGUUUAUUUCUAAAUGAAAUAAAACGAAGCGGAUAGCGUGAUAACUAUCUCUCUCAAAAAAGUGGUCCCUGUCUUAGGGACCUCAAGCAUUAAAAAGGACACCAAAGUGGUUCAAUCAAUAGUGCUCUAGCUAGUGACACACACUCAAAAAAGUCACGAGCUUUGUUUCUCAAACAUGCUUGGUGCACGUGGAGAUGUUAACGGGUCGGUUUUUCACCAAUUUUAACAUAAGAUCAUGAGGCGAAACCCGUUAAGAUAUCAAGUUUUAUCUGUUGCCGUUGAAAGCGCAACAAAAAUAUAUUUCAUUUAUUUUUGAAAAUGAUAACAUGCGAUGUAGAUUGCAAUAGUUUGAUUAGACUAAUUUCGAAAAAAAAUAUAUCUCUAUAUAUUUUUGCUCUAGUUCUCUUCAACCAAGUGCGCCCUAAAUACUUUGGAUAUUCGCAAUCUUAAGGAUUUAGCAGCCAUGGCUAGAGUUUUAAUUUGUACAAAAAAGGUUAAUGACGAUGGUAUUUUUAGUGCCAAAAAUAACUCAAUUUAAUUUUAUUUUUAAUAUAAAAAAAACAUUAAAUUUUUGCUCGUGAAAUUAUUGCUUUUCCAAAUAGAGAAGCUCCAUAAAGUAAUAAGUCCCAGUGGUGUGAAACUGGUCAGAGUCUAAUUGAGUUGGUGGAGCCACAAAAAAUAUCUCCCUCACGUGUUGCACCCAAGCACAGAUAUUAAAGCGAACCCAGAAGUGGAGGAAACUGAUGAGCGCGACUGCGAACAGUGGCAAAGUAAACAACAUGGCCAUUUUGAUUGAGCUGAGCCUAAAAGGAGUCAUGCUAUUUACUGCAACGAUUCCGCGAAAAUAAGACGUUUCCUCGGAAAAUCCAUGCGUCAUCUCACACCGCAUCGCAUGCAAACCAAUCAAAAUCCUUGAUUCCGCCAAAAUAAGGCAUUUCCUCGGAAAAUUCAUGCAUCAUCUCACACCGCAUCGCGUGCAAACCAAUCAAAAUCCUUCACCCAGAACACGAGCCUCAAAUACCUCACCACAGUGAGGCUUGUUCCCGCACAAAUAACCUUUCAUUUUACAUUAAUACGUCCAUUUACACGUAACAAUUGGUACAACAUUACGGAAAAUUUUACACACUAUCUCCGACUACAUGUUGCUCAAGAAAAUGAAGGAGAGCAAGACCAGAAGCCCAGACAUCAUCAUCCAACACAAAUUCCUCGGGAGAAUGGCUGAUUCCCCCUCGGCAUCGAACAAACAACAUGCCGACCUGCGCCCGUAUCAACGACAAAUUUUAGAUGACGAGAAAGUAACUAAGUUCUACAAGAACGAAAUUUUAACUAUGGAACCAUGAAUUACCGAAUCCCCCUUAAUCACUUACGAGAAGCGAUUGUGUAACCUAGUCCCUGAUUUUUUUUUUUUUUUUUUUUUUCCCGCUACUGACCAAUCUGCCCCUUUUCAUCUAAAUUAGUUCCCCUUUCACUUUAUCUAGAAGAUGAGUAAAAUGGUCAUCUUACAGAACAGGUCUCACAAGUUCGGGGACAUAGAUGUUUAACUAACAAGUUCAGGGAUUAAAUUUCACAAUUUUGAGAAAGAACAGGAUUUAUUUGUCCACAUUUAUUCAUUUGUUCUACGAGUUACGGGAUAUGGAUUUCUUGAUCAUUGUUCAACGAGGGAAAAUGCAGAUUCUGAACUUUUCGGCGUAAAUAUAAAGAUUGAAAUUGCGAUGUGUAGGAGUUUGCAGCAUUUUAACAUGAAAAAGAAAAAAGAAAACCAUUAAUCACAUAGCAUAAUUCGACCAACCUUUGUUAACCGAGCCAUCGCCAUUGCAUCAUGUCCUGCUCCACUCAUUAAGAUCGGCAUCUCGCUAGGGGUGUAGCCGUGCAUCUUUCUUAAAGCUGAAGUUGCCGCUUGUUUUAAUUGUACGGCUAAUCCCGAGUCGCAAAGAACAGCCUCUGCACUAUGCUGAAAAGAAUAAAGCUUAAUUUAGUCAGAUGUAUGUCCGAAUGAAUGCAGAGUUGAGCUAUACUACACUCAAAAGGAUAUCAAAUUACCAAGAGUAUUAAAAUAAUCCACAAAUUAAACAAUAUAAGCUUUGGAUGUCUUUUCGCUUGGAACAUUGACUAAACAAGGAUUGCAUCCAAAUCUAACUAUGCUGUGUGAGUGUCGUGUUCGUGAAGAGAGAGAGAGAGAGAGAGAGAUGCACACACCUUAAGUUCAAUUGUACAAUUGAUCAUCCGACGAUCACACUUCCAAUAAAUUUGCUUUGAGAGCUCAGCUAGUAUGGCUUCCCUUGCUUUGUCAUCAAUCACCCGUACAUCGACGGUAAAAUUAACCUGUAAAUGGAAUACUUAUUUCACUUAACUGCGUAAAUAUAUUACUUAAGACACUGAUAAUAUUAUAACAUAAUUAAAAGGAAAAAGAAGGGCAAAUGAUCAUUUCCUGGCCAGGGAUGACAUUGCUCGCACUUGGCCAGCAAGAUAGUUCCCCCACCGUGCAGACCAAUCCCGCUAGAGAUUCCUUCGUGACGCAUCCACAUUCAUUAUCAUAAGUUAAGAAUUUCUCGGGUUUUCUACACAGACUUUCCAAUGUUACAAUUAGUUCAGCAGCAGCAGCCAUCGGAUCUUGGCGCAAUGGCAUCGGGACUGUUCCGGCAUGCCCUUGCACCCCAUUUACUAUCACCUGGAGAAAUCAUUUUAGAAUGUAACAGCCUCUAAAUUAGCUCAUUAUAAACAUUUGCAUUAAAAACCGGAAUUAUUCAACAAAUUUUAGAUACAACUCUAAAUUUCAAUAGAUGUUCCAUUAUUUCAAUCAUAGCCAUUGAGCAUUAUGCUCAAAUACCUUUAAUCGUGUCUGUCCGGCUAUUCCUUUGACAAUGCCAAGAGGAUAACCCAGUGUUUCCAAUACAGGGCCUUGUUCGAUGUGAACCUAAGACAUUAUAAUAGAGUUGGAAUAAAGUUUCGAUCAUUUCCUUAUCUAGUAUAAGAUAUUCUACCCAUUAUCAAAAGAUUAUACCUCAACAUAACCCCAAACGGAUUGUGGAUUGUACUUGACUCGGCCAAGGCUUUCAAUGGUAGCCUCGAAAGAGUUUUCUCUAAGGACAUUUUGCACUGUAACGCCACUGAAUAAGUUGCAUGUCGUAAGUAGCACAUCAACGGUUUUCCACUCAACAGAAACUGGCUAGAUUUAUAUACAAAAAUAACCUCUUAUCAGUUGCGAGCAGUGUCGAUGGUGGUAGGAUACCAGCUACAGCAGCACUCCCUAAAAAAGUUGAUUGAAACCUGACACCUUCCUCAUCACUGAAUGCAAUCACCUGAGAUUACACAGUAAAAAGUUGCUAAAUUAAUAUUAUGAUUUUCAUUGUUCUUUUAAUGACUAUGAAAAUGAGGCCGAUUCCAAUGCAGUAUUUAUAAAGAAAUAAUCCUACGUACAGAGUUUUACUUGUUUAAAGAAAAUUACUGGUAAGGAUCAACGUAAAUAAUUAUUUUUUAUUAUAAAAAUAAUUAUAGAUUAGAUUAAUCACCAACUACUCAUCAUACUAAAUUUUCUUCUGCUAGAAUGUACGAUAAGAUCCAUGGUUUAUACAACAACAUGCAGAGGAAUCAGAAUAAUCAUAGUAUAACUAGAAGACGUUAUUUAAUCUUUACCAGUAAAUUCAAGUGAGAACAGUCUCCACAUAUAUGAACAGGAAAAAGUAUAAGAUAAUAUCUAACCUCCACCGGCCUAUAUAGUUUCUGCAAUUUCCCACUGAUCUUCAGGGCCUUCAAAGCAGAGAUGGCACAUAUUACACCAAGUGCUCCAUCGUACAUACCAGCAUCAACAACAGUGUCCUGUUUAGGCAAAAAUAUACACACUAUCACAUUUCACGUUACGGGUACUAAGGUAAAUUAAAGAUGUCCGACUGAUCACCAUGUGAGAUCCAAUCAGUAAGGCCUCAGCACUUGAAUUGACCGACUCAGUUCGACCAUGUAUGUUGCCCAUUUGGUCCACCCAACUAUAUAUCGAGCAACAUACAGGUCAGUAACUUCAAUAACUUCAUUAUAAGUUAGAAAUGAAAAAAGAGAGAAACAAAGAAAAGAAAAAAACCAUACGAUCUUAAUCCAGCAUCCUGCAUCCAACUGAUGAUAAGAUCAGUAGCUCUUAAAGCGGCAGGACUUAAGAAUGUCCUUUCAAGAUAUCCUUCACGAUCAGAUACCUAAUCAAAAGAAACUAUGAUAUUACGGGAGAGCAACUUCGCUAUGUACUGAAUCAAUCAGGGAACUCCUUCAUAAUUAAAAUAGUUAUUUAUUAAAAAGAAAAGGUAAACCUGAAAAACGAUAACACAAAAACAGAUUGUUCGGAAGGUGCAUAUUGGCCGGUUGAGUUUCUUGAUGUACUUGGGAAAUAAAUACCCUCAGGUAAUAGUACAAUUCACUAGCUUCUAUUUAUCCCGAAAAAUGGCUUUGAUUUAACGAUUAAAAUAAAACCACAUUUUGCAUAAAGCUGUCAAUAGAUUAGUACCCACAAACUAACAAUAAAUUUUUCCACCUUUCAACAGGUUUUCGGUACAUAAAGCAUCGAGAAAACCCUAGAUAUCUCAUGUAAGUAAAUAGUCAUUGAAUCAACUAUUGCAGUAAUUUCAUCAUAUAGCCAGAUUUUGGAAUAAUAUGACAGGAUACAUCGGAAAAGUUGCAUUACUACAUACUGUGUUCAGUACAAAAUUGAGUAGCAGGUGAUCUGGGACUUCAGUAACAAAGAUAUGAGUGAACUGUUUACCAUCUCUAGAUCACAAAUUGCACCAAACUUCAGAGUCUCAUUACCAUCAAUUUAUCAAAGAACAACUUAGACGUUUCUUAAUACUGUCUUAUACCAACAAUUAAUCCUUAUACAAAACAAAUCAUACUAUAAAAGUAAAUGCUUUUUUUUAAUCUAUGUCGACUUGUAACUAUCAUAAACAGAGUACAUACACACAUACAUAUCUAAAUAAUAUAUAAUCAUAGACUAAGUGGUGUCACUCUAAGUUUCCAUCUCUUAGCAAUAUGCAAUAUAAUCUAUAUAUCACAUCUUAAAAUUAUCUUUUUUUACUGUAAAAAAAAAUUUCAUAGGAAACAAAAAAAAUACAUGUAAUGGUAUUCAACAAUACAGAAAUAUAUUACAUCUCUCACCAUCAUCUUACGUCUAUUCAAACAUCACAACCAAUCCAUAAAAAUUUUAUGAAAAAUACCUUGAAACAACUAGAAUUAACAUUAACAGAUCCAUACCUACUCAAAUCACAAUCCACAUUUCCACUACUCUAAACAAGCAAAAAUUAGUCCAAAAAUAUAAUCGAAAUCGAAACCUUUCCGAGCUCUCUGAUUCUAAACACCGCCUCAUCCCUCAGAAUCUCCGGAAACAGUUCGUUCCCCCCAUUUCCCACGCUUCCCAUCUCCGACCCUUCAAAUUAACCAAAUUCCCAUCACAGUUCGCAGAAAAAUUACGACAAAAAACCCUAAAAAUAGCGGGAAAUUUUGAAAAAAAAAGAAAAAAUUGAAGCACCGAGGAUUAGAUUGAGCGUGAGAAGGAUCGAAAUUGAGAAAAUGAGGAGAUUAAGGGGAUUGGGAAGGGGAAAUGGUGAGGAUUUUGGGAGAGAAAAAGCCAUGGUUUUUUCGCUCCACUAUUUUCAUUGUGUGGCUCCUCCGAAGCGCCUCGUUUAUAUAUUGCUUUAGAGUGUGCUCAUACACUGUUCCGUAGGAACACAAUACAUAUAAACAGCGCGGGAAAUUUACAUAUAAACCCUCAACAAGUGUAAAUAUGUUACAACAUCCCAUCUUUUUUUAUUUUUUAAUUUGUUUUUGAUAGAGCUUAUUAAUGUUUUAAUUAACUGGCACACUAUUCAGUAUACUAUCAAUUUGUUAGAUUUUUUUUCAUAUUUUUUAUAACAAAAUUUUAAAAUAAAUACUAAUUAAUUUUAAAAAUCAAUGCAAAAGUAACAAAUACACCAGUAAGAUUUCAAAAUUAAUAUAAAAAACUUUAUUAAUUUUUACAAUUUUUAUGAGAGUUUGGGGGGCAAUUUGUAAUUUUCCCAAUAAUCAGACUGUAACAAUCAAUCCUAGCCGUUCAAUUAAUGGUUGUGGUUUUAAGUUAUAUUGUUCCUAAGGUGCAAGAUACCAUGUCCCGUGACAAAAUAGAGUUCUCUGGAUACGUCUCCAUGCGCGCGCAUAAAAGCUCUAUGCGAGAUUCCAUCCACCGUCCGAUCAGGCAAGUGUACGGUAUUUUGCGAAACCGCAGAUGGGAUUAUAUGCGGAUGUUUGGAUGAUUAAAUUCCUUGUUCAGGAGCGCAAGCUGUGUAGUGGAUCUAAAAGAAUAAAAUUAUUUAUUUGAUUAUUUGAUACGGAAUCUCGGAUACGUGGAUUCUAACCCAGAAAAAAAGGGAGCUGUUAAGGGACUAAAAAAAUGAUAAUAAAAAUUUAAUGGGUAUUUUUGAGUGUAUCCAAUUUAUUUUGUUCAUCGAGAGGCUUUGUCGCAUAUUAGUAGUUUAAUUUUUCAGAAUCAAUUGAUUUGAUAAUUAUGUGCUCAGUGCACGAAACUAGAGAACUGUUGUAUUGCAUUUUUUUCGUCAUGCACGUUGAUUCUGCCCAUAAUCUUGACAGAAACUUUUUGUUGCUGCAUUGAAAACUUUAAAAAUUUUUUGGGAUACGCAUGUUAUGUGAUAAAAUUCAUACUAUUCAAACGGUAACACCAGGAGACGUACUUGCGGUAGAUUCUCUCCUUUCAGUCGAAUCAGUGAUACUAAAAUAAGACUUAUAUUUUCAUAUUCAAAAUCUCACUUUUGUUUUCUGUCAUAACAAAAAUACUAAAUAUGCUAUCUGAAGCAAACAACGAUAAUUUUUAUACGCUCAACCAUGUUUAGGGUACAUUUUAAAGUACCCAUAGCUACAAUCUUGGAAUUAGGUUGGUGAUUACGCAUGAUAGCAUGAUGAUAAAUAAUAAACAAAGUGCACGCACUACGUAUAUCAACACAUGGAUGGCAUAUGAGAAUGUUUUAUAUUAUAAAAAUGCAUGCAUGUAUGAGUAUGACAUAGCACGACAUACAUUCUUGAAUAAUUUAUGAUGCAUGCAUGUAUGAGUGUGACGUCGCACGACAUACAUGCUUGAAUAAUUUAUGCUUAUUUAUAUUAUAAGUAAUGGAAUAUUCGUUCAUGCAUGAGACCAUGCUAACAUAAAGAUCUAAUAAAAAAGGAAACCUAACUUUUAUAAUUGGUUCAUCUUCUGAGUUCCAUGGACACAGGUGACAAUGUACGUGGCUCAAAUUCAUCCACACUUCUUUUUUUUUUUCUAAUAAAAAAAACCUUAGUAAAAUAAUGAAACUUUAAACUAAUAUAUAUAUAUAUAUAAAGAGAGAGAGAGAGGGGGAGAGAGAGUGUGUGUACGGCUACUAUACUGUUAUGAGUACGAUCGCCUUCAUACUCAUAAGUUGUUUUCGAUGAUAGAGCUUCCGAAUCGACGAUCCACACCGUUAAACUUUAUCUAGAGCAUUUGAAACAUUUAGAAAUCAAAUUUCAUAAUUUUUCGACAUCAUUUACCUUACGAUCAAAAGCUCAUAAAAUUGACAAUUUUUAACGGCCGGUAUGGAAUACUUUUUAGUUUAACGGUGCAAAAGAAUCCGAAUAGGUUGAAUUUUUGAUAGAAAAUUAUAUUCACUACCUAGAUAAAGAUCAAUAACUCCGAUCUUAAAUUGAAGGAUCCGAUCAUCCAUUUUUAAGACUUCGUUCGAUUUUGACCGUUCAUUUUAUGCCCGCUUGAUGGACUUUAAUUAUUAAGAUUUCGAAAAAUUAUGAAAUUUAUUUUCUAGAAGUUUUAAAUACUCUAAAUCAUAUUUAAUGGAGUGGAUCGUCAAUUCGGAAGCUCCAUCAUCGAAAACAACUUGUGCAUACGAAGGGCCCAAUACUCAUAAUAUAUAAUAUAGUAGCCCUACUCUCUCUCUCUCUCUAUAUAUAUAUAGCGCAAAUCCAAAUUAACA